rnacentral:rRNA from 1 species
UACGUAGGGUGCGAGCGUUGUCCGGAAUUAUUGGGCGUAAAGAGCUCGUAGGCGGUUUGUCACGUCGAUGUGAACCGGGCCGUAACUCCGGGCCUGCAUUCGAUACGGGCUGACUAGAGUUCGGCAGGGGAGACUGGAAUUCCUGGUGUAGCGGUGAAAUGCGCAGAUAUCAGGAGGAACACCGGUGGCGAAGGCGGGUCUCUGGGCCGAUACUGACGCUGAGGAGCGAAAGCGUGGGGAGCGAACAGG